GCUCCGGUGGCCUAGUGGUUUGAGCGUCCGCCUAGGAUGCAGCAGGUCGUGGGUUCGAUCCACGGCCGAUCCA